UACGGAGGGUGCAAGCGUUAUCCGGAUUUACUGGGUUUAAAGGGUGCGUAGGUGGAUUGGUAAGUCAGUGGUGAAAUCCUUUCGCUUAACGAAGGAACUGCCAUUGAUACUAUCAAUCUUGAAUGUAGUGGAGGUAGGCGGAAUGCGUCAUGUAGCGGUGAAAUGCUUAGAUAUGACGCAGAACACCAAUUGCGAAGGCAGCUUGCUACACUACUAUUGACACUGAGGCACGAAAGCGUGGGGAUCAAACAGG
rnacentral:rRNA from 1 species